UGGGGGUCAGCAGCAGAUCCAUUUUCUGCCACCGAAUACAUUAGCAUGGGAUAAUGGAAUAGGACCCUGUCCUCCUAUUUUCAGUUGGUUUUGGCAGCGCGAGGACUAGGGUAAUGAUUAAUAGGGAUAGUUGGGGGCAUUAAUAUUUAAUUGUCAGAGGUGAAAUUCUUGGAUUUAUGAAAGAUUAACUUCUGCGAAAGCAUCUGCCAAGGAUGUUUUCAUUAAUCAAGAACGAAAGUUAGGGGAUCGAAGACGAUCAGAUACCGUCGUAGUCUUAACCAUAAACGAUGCCGACCAGCGAUUAGGAGACGUUGAAUACAAAACACCACCAUCGGUGCGGUCGUCCUUGGCGUCUCGGUCCUUCACGGGGCCGGGGGGCGGGGGAGGCUGAUGCCGGCGGCACCGGAGACCGCCUCCCCCAUGAGAUAGUGAGA
rnacentral:rRNA from 1 species